UGAUCUUGUGUACUAAUCGUUUGUGCAUGCAGGAAUGCUGACCUUGGCUGCAGAAUCGCAAAUGGAGUGCUGCUCACAUGUCACUGCAAAUUCGUAAAUUUGGAAUGUCCUUGACAUUGUCCCAGUAGUCACCUCCCCGUUUGCAUCUUCUUGCUAGAGCAGGACAAUGCGAAAUAUGGAGUGUUUCCAGGCUGUGCAGCCUCUGCUGGAGACCUUUAGGGACUUCAAGCUUGGGCAUUCCAUAAUAUCCAACGAUUCUAGGGUGUCAUGAGAGCCCAAUCCUUCAGGUAUAGACUCGAGUUUAGAAAUGCCCCGAAUAUUAAAUUUUUUUAGGGAGGUGAAUGUAGGGAAUGCCACCAAGUUUGGGCACUUCAAAAUCUGCAUGCAUUCCACAUUGUGCAGGCCCUCAUCUGCUGAUGGCUUCACUGAAAGUAAAGCUGUGAAGUUUUUACAUCGAUUAAUAUAUAACCGUUUUAGUGAAGUCAAGCUUUGCAAUUCCCCCAAUGGCCAAAAGGUGAGACUAUCACAGUUAAAGAUAGUUAAGCAUUCCAAACUGACAAAGAGUUCCCAAAAACAAAAUGGUGACUGAAGGAUAUCUGGUUGGAUGAAGAAAUCACAACAACUGAGAUGCAAUCUCUUAAUAUA